rnacentral:lncRNA from 1 species
GGCUGAGAUAAUCUGCUAAUGUGGGUGCAGCAGACAUCCCGCGGUUUGUGGAAUCGAUAAAGGAUGGGGAUCAAUGGUGUUUGUGCACUGUGCGGUCUGUGCCCAAUUGCCUGCCUUGUGCUGUGGAAUCUGUACAUCUGGCCAACAUGUGCUUGUGUGAGCCUGACAGUGCAUUUUCCAGAGCCUCACCUCGGCUCUGCCCUGGAGGCUCUGUGCUGCUGGAAUCAGACUCAAGGACCUCAUCAGAGGACCAUGGCCCCGUAUCACCUGGGUCAGGCACUGAAGCUGGGACAGGAGAGCAGAGACUUCCAAAAUGAGGGAUCCCUGUGUUCUGAGGUGAUCAUGACUGGGACCCAAGGACUCAAGCGCAUGCUCCAGAGGGAAUCGUUUCCCACAAGGCCUUUGGCAGGAACAGGGAUCCUGGGAGCCUGCCAAGCAGAGCGCACAGUGUUCCUGGAGUCUCGCUGCCCAGAUGCCACGGAAUCAGUUGAAGGUCUCCAGCUGGGGUGGACGUGCCCACCAGCUGCCGAAGGCCAAGACGCCAGGUCCGGUGGACGUGACAAGCAGGACAUGACAUGGUCCGGUGUGACGGCGAGGACAGAGGAGGCGCGUCCGGCCUUCCUGAACACCUUAGGCUGGUGGGGCUGCGGCAAGAAGCGGGUCUGUUUCUUUACUUCCUCCACGGAGUCGGCACACUAUGGCUGCCCUCUGGGCUCCCAGAACCCACAACAUGAAAGAAAUGGUGCUACCCAGCUCAAGCCUGGGCCUUUGAAUCCGGACACAAAACCCUCUAGCUUGGAAAUGAAUAUGCUGCACUUUACAACCACUGCACUACCUGACUCAGGAAUCGGCUCUGGAAGGUGAAGCUAGAGGAACCAGACCUCAUCAGCCCAACAUCAAAGACACCAUCGGAACAGCAGCGCCCGCAGCACCCACCCCGCACCGGCGACUCCAUCUUCAUGGCCACCCCCUGCGGCGGACGGUUGACCACCAGCCACCACAUCAUCCCAGAGCUGAGCUCCUCCAGCGGGAUGACGCCGUCCCCACCACCUCCCUCUUCUUCUUUUUCAUCCUUCUGUCUCUUUGUUUCUGAGCUUUCCUGUCUUUCCUUUUUUCUGAGAGAUUCAAAGCCUCCACGACUCUGUUUCCCCCGUCCCUUCUGAAUUUAAUUUGCACUAAGUCAUUUGCACUGGUUGGAGUUGUGGAGACGGCCUUGAGUCUCAGUACGAGUGUGCGUGAGUGUGAGCCACCUUGGCAAGUGCCUGUGCAGGGCCCGGCCGCCCUCCAUCUGGGCCGGGUGACUGGGCGCCGGCUGUGUGCCCGAGGCCUCACCCUGCCCUCGCCUAGUCUGGAAGCUCCGACCGACAUCACGGAGCAGCCUUCAAGCAUUCCAUUACGCCCCAUCUCGCUCUGUGCCCCUCCCCACCAGGGCUUCAGCAGGAGCCCUGGACUCAUCAUCAAUAAACACUGUUACAGCAA